rnacentral:rRNA from 1 species
UCGUCAGCUCGUGUCGUGAGAUGUUGGGUUAAGUCCCGUAACGAGCGCAACCCUUGUCCUUAGUUACCAGCACCUCGGGUGGGCACUCUAAGGAGACUGCCGGUGACAAACCGGAGGAAGGUGGGGAUGACGUCAAGUCAUCAUGGCCCUUACGGCCAGGGCUACACACGUGCUACAAUGGUCGGUACAAAGGGUUGCCAAGCCGCGAGGUGGAGCUAAUCCCAUAAAACCGAUCGUAGUCCGGAUCGCAGUCUGCAACUCGACUGCGUGAAGUCGGAAUCGCUAGUAAUCGUGAAUCAGAAUGUCACGGUGAAUACGUUCCCGGGCCUUGUACACACCGCCCGUCACACCAUGGGAGUGGGUUGCUCCAGAAGUAGCUAGUCUAACCGCAAGGGGGACGGUUACCACGGAGUGAUUCAUGACUGGGGUGAAGUCGUAACAAGGUAGCCGUAGGGGAACCUGCGGCUGGAU